rnacentral:rRNA from 1 species
CCUACGGGAGGCAGCAGUGGGGGAUAUUGCACAAUGGGGGAAACCCUGAUGCAGCGACGCCGCGUGGGUGAAGAAGCGCCUCGGCGCGUAAAGCCCUGUCAGCAGGGAAGAAAAUGACGGUACCUGAAGAAGAAGCCCCGGCUAACUACGUUCCAGCAGCCGCCGUAAUACGUAGGGGGCAAGCGUUAUCCGGAUUUACUGGGUGUAAAGGGGGCGCAGACGGCGAUGCAAGCCAGGAGUGAAAGCCCGGGGCCCAACCCCGGGACGGCUCUUGGAACUGCGUGGCUAGAGUGCAGGAGGGGCAGGCGGAAGUCGUGGUGUAGCGGUGAAAUGCGUAGAUAUCAGGAGGAAAACCGGUGGCGAAGGCGGCCUGCUGGACUGCAACUGACGUUGAGGCCCGAAAGCGUGGGGAGCAAACAGGAUUAGAUACCCGGGUAGUC